AAUAGAUACCCGGGUAGUCCAUGCCGUAAACGAUGUCUACUAGCCGUUGGGGCCCUUGAGGCUUUAGUGGCGCAGCUAACGCGAUAAGUAGACCGCCUGGGGAGUACGGUCGCAAGACUAAAACUCAAAUGAAUUGACGGGGGCCCGCACAAGCGGUGGAGCAUGUGGUUUAAUUCGAUGCAACGCGAAGAACCUUACCUGGCCUUGACAUACAGAGAACUUUCCAGAGAUGGAUUGGUGCCUUCGGGAACUCUGAUACAGGUGCUGCAUGGCUGUCGUCAGCUCGUGUCGUGAGAUGUUGGGUUAAGUCCCGCAACGAGCGCAACCCUUUUCCUUAUUUGCCAGCACUUCGGGUGGGAACUUUAAGGAUACUGCCAGUGACAAACUGGAGGAAGCGGGGACGACGUCAAGUCAUCAUGGCCCUUACGGCCAGGGCUACACACGUGCUACAAUGGUCGGUACAAAGGGUUGCUACUGCGCGAGCAGAUGCUAAUCUCAAAAAGCCGAUCGUAGUCCGGAUCGCAGU
rnacentral:rRNA from 1 species